GCGCAGCAGUCGAGAAACUUCACAAUGUGCGAAAGCACGAUGAGGGAAUCCCAAGUGCUUGCUCGUAAGAGUAAGCUGUUUCUCUGUCUAAAACGCAGAGAGAGUAAGGGCUGGGCAAGACGGGUGCCAGCCGCCGCGGUAAUACCUGCAGCUCGAGUGGUGGCCGCUAUUAUUGGGCCUAAAACGUCCGUAGCCGGUUUAUUAAAUGCCUGGGUAAAUCGGACCGCUUAACGGUUCGAAUUCCGGGUAGACUGAUAAACUUGAGACCGGGAGAAGCUAGAGGUACUCCUGGGGUAGAGGUGAAAUUCUGUAAUCCUAGGGGGACCACCAGUGGCGAAGGCGUCUAGCUAGAACGGGUCUGACGGUGAGGGACGAAGCCCUGGGGCGCAAAACGGG
rnacentral:rRNA from 1 species